rnacentral:rRNA from 1 species
AAGUCGUAACAAGGUUUCCGUAGGUGAACCUGUGGAAGGAUCAUUAGUGAAUUAUAGGGCGUCUACUUCGGUAGGGCCUGACCUCCACUUUCUAACUCUGUGCACUCAUUUGGCGGAAAAGAGGAAUAGUGAUUGUCUCGCGACGAUUAGGACUUCCUUCUUUCUGCGGCUUACUUUAAACACCAGUCAAAGUAUGUAACGAAAUAUCGAAACAAAAGAAAACUUUCAACAACGGAUCUCUUGGCUCUCGCAUCGAUGAAGAACGCAGCGAAAUGUGAUAAGUAAUGUGAAUUGCAGAAUUCAGUGAAUCAUCGAAUCUUUGAACGCACCUUGCGCUCCCUAGUAUUCUGGGGAGCAUGUCUGCUUGAGUGUCAUGAACUCUUCAACCCACCGGUUUCUUGUAGACUGNNNGGUGUUUNNNNNNUGAACGUUGCUGGUCUUCGGACGUAGCUCGUUCGUAAUAUAUUAGCAUCUCUAAUUCGAAUUCGGANUGACUCAGUGNAAUAGACUAUUCGCUGAGGACACUUUUAUUAGUGGCCGAACUAGAUCAUUGUAGAAGCUUCGAACCUCUAUAGUCAACUUUAGAUUAGACCUCAGAUCAGGCAGGAUUACCCGCUGAACUUAAGCAUAUCAAUAAGCGGAGGAAAAGAAACUAACAAGGAUUCCCCUAGUAACGGCGAGUGAAGCGGGAAGAGCUCAAAUUUGUAAUCUGGCACCUUCGGUGUNCGAGUUGUAAUCUCGAGAAGNNNNNNNGCGCCGGACCGCAUACAAGUCUGUUGGAAUACAGCGUCAUAGUGGUGAGAGCCCCGCAACUGAUGUGGAUGCCCGGUGCUUUGUGAUACACUUUCGAAGAGUCGAGUUGUUUGGGAAUGCAGCUCAAAUUGGGUGGUAAAUUCCAUCUAAAGCUAAAUAUUGGCGAGAGACCGAUAGCGAACAAGUACCGUGAGGGAAAGAUGAAAAGCACUUUGGAAAGAGAGUUAACAGUACGUGAAAUUGUUGGAAGGGAAACGCUUGAAGUCAGACUUGCUAUUCGGAAUUCAGCCGCAAGGUGUACUUUUCGAUUUGCAGGCCAGCAUCAGUUUUUGGGGAUGGAAAAGGGCUGGAGGAAGGUAGCAAUUUAGGUUGUGUUAUAGCCUUCAGCUGGAUUCAUCUUUGGGGACUGAGGAACGCAGCGCGCUUUUUGCAAGGCUCUCGAGCUUUUCGCGCUUAGGAUGCUGGUGGAAUGGCUUUAAACGACC